GUAAACAAGGGAGUUAGCAUAGUUUCCUUUCAAUACAGCACUCUUGAUAAAAUGUUUGUAGUAUAACAAAUAAAAACAUUUUCUUGGACUCUCCAGGAAAUUAAUGGCUUAUUUUUCCUGGCAGACUGAUGUGAGGGAUACUAAAUUACCUUCCACUGAUUAAAGACAAGCCACUGCCUCUAGGCAAAGAGAAAAAGAAAAGAAUUAACCAAGCCCUUAGCAAAAGGAGGCAGUGGUGAAAGUUAGGUAAACAAUUCGGAUCUUCUUUGAUCGGACAGUGCAGCUUCCAGAUGCCACAAAACGCUGAGAACCUGGAAGCUGCUCGGGAGACUUCUUAUGUGGAGAGGAACCUCGGCACUUUCUAAGGACCUACUCUGUGCUUGACUGUCACUUAAUUUCCCACCAAGCAAGUAUCCUGUAAGGCCUGUGUCACACACUGGGCAGGUGGUGACUGGAACCUGACUGCAGGGGUCCCCGGCAACUUCUAUGAUCCCAAACUGUGUGUUGAAUUCUCCUGACCAGCAAGCAAGCAAUUCUGCAGCAGAUCCUCACUGGGGACACUGUCUACCUUCAGCUUCUCCUCAAACACUUGCUGAAGAGACCAGUCAAUAGCAAAGAGUCAGUAGAUGCUGUGUGGAAAGUAACCUGCACAAUGGCCACCAUCAAGAUGCUCGAUGUCAGCAAGUGCUAGUGUCUGCUGUCCCCCACCAGAGCUCCCAGCCUGCUGUCUCGCUUGUCUUUUCCAAUGAGCUAACACAGAAGCGACUGAAACCGAACAAGAAGUUCCGACGAGUCACUCAAAGGCAGCCUCACCAUGCACCCCCAUGAUGUACCGUGUCACCACAAGUCCCAAGCAACAGGGCCAAGUCACCAUGGACUGACACACUUGAAACUGUGAGCCAAAAUCAACCCAAGCCCUUUCUAAGUUGAUUUAUUACCCCAGAUGCCUGUCUAUACAGCAGUGGGAAGCUGACUGACAGUGGAUACUGUUGUAAUCAUCUUUGUCAUUUGGGGACCAGGAGGAUGAAUAGCCAACAUAAUGAGAACACAAGGCAGAAGGAAUGAAGGCUCUGGGUCCUUAGUGAGAUGGAGAGCUGUGCCUGGAAAACCUGCUUCUAGAUACUAAGAGACCAGUCGGUCUCCUUACGAAGGCCAGCUGCUAAUUUGUGAGGAAUGCCCUCGGACAUGCCUCAUUAUAGCUUUCAUUAAUACAAGAACUGGUGCGACAUGCUCUUUAGGCUUUGGGGAGAGAGUCUCGAGUAACAACAGCAAUAGCAAACACUUCUCGGAGCUGACUUAUUCUAAUGCCUAAUCCUGCCCUGGUGAAGUCAGAAAAAUUAGCCUAGUGAAUUCUGAUUUGAGAACUCUGUGGGGAUUUUGUUCCUAACGCCAAUUUCUGCAACUAUUCCAUGGGUACCAAAAAAGGACUCCCACACACUCAGAGCAUACAAGGAGUGAAGUUUAGGUCAAGGCUCAGUGUCUGUGUGUCUGUGUCCAAUCGUUCCCACGCGGUUGAACACACAGCUCUGUCCCUGUUGAAUCGCCCUUGUGCCUUUCUCAAAAACCGCAUGAUCAUAUUUUUGGAGAAGAGGAAAAGAAAGGCAAACACAACAACAAUGUUUAAGUUGGCAACGAUGCGGCUCCGUGGGCUGCCCCAUUCCCUGCAGGGGCCGCAAACUGGCGCUGUCCCUGGCUGGACUUGGGUGGAAGGAGCACCAGCCUUGGCCUCCCACUCCCUUGGGGGGCCCUGCAGCACGGAUGUCACAGAAGGUUCCCGAGAGCGACGUGUGGAGAGCCCUAAACUGGAAACCACCAAGCUGCUCACCCUCAGGAGUGCAGAUCAGAUUCACGCGGUGCAUCGCGAUGGCACAGGAACAUACAACCUAAGCUACAUGUGGGAGUGUGGCUAAAUCUCCUGUCUUCUAAUCUUCCUCUAUGUCUCUAAGUCUCCUUCCUCUAAAUCUUCUGUCUCCACGACAGAAAGCCUGGGGCACUGGGAUUGAACCCAAGGCAUGUGUUGCAUGAUUCCCGUUGCAGGAAAUCGACACAUGGGCAAAACUAUUCUGCUCUGUUGGAAGUCGAGCUCCUGCUGUGCCUCGGUGGGAAGCAGGGGCAGGGACAGGGCGGGGUCCUGGGAAGUUGUGGGAUGCUCAGCCUUUUGAGCUGCUACUGGCUUCAAGGGUGUGUUAACCCUAUGAAAAUGUAACAGUAAAGCUGGGCGUGGUGGCCCAUUUCUAUCAUCCUAGGUGACUGAGGCAGGAAGACUGCAAUCUGUGCUCAGCCUGGGCAACUUGGCAGCAGAGCAAGACCCUGUGUCACAUUAAAAAAAUAAAAAAGGGCUGGAGCUAUGGCUAAGUGCAAAGGCCCUGGGUUCGAUUCCCAGUACCGCAAAACAAACAAAUCAAUGGUACACGCCCUAUGCACUUUCUACAUGUGUACGUUCUAUUUCCAAUAAAAAUUUUAAAAGAGUG
ensembl:lncRNA